rfam:Ictidomys tridecemlineatus contig037290, whole genome shotgun sequence.
GGAGUUGUGGCUCAGUGGUAGAGUGUUUGCCUGGCAUGUGUAAGGCCCUGAGUUCAAUCCUCAGCAUCUCAU